UUCAAUCACAGCUCAAUACGUGUGGCACACUUAUUGCUUAGAUCUUACAGCUAUAACAGUAAUCUUCCAUUGCUUACAAUCUCAUGAACAACAGAUUAGGUGAGUUAUAACUUGUAAGUUUCUUUUUCGACAAGGGAAAUUUUAUUGAAUCAAGAUUGUCAUGAGUUAUGACUUGUAAGUUAUUGAGUCCUUUUCUUUUAACAAGUCAAUUAAAAAGUUGAGGGGGAGGGUCCCCCACCUAAGAUUUCAUUACCAGCAAACGCAUACAAACAACAGUCUCAUACUUGUACUAACAAGUCAUUGAGUCCUCAAACUAUCAUUGUACCGAGUUGCCGAGCCAGUCAAGGUGCCCGGGCUCCGACACUGAUUCUACAACCGCAAAGAUAGUCUACAACACUGCAGGCACCCUGACAAACUGAAGAUGAUCAAGAGCAUCAGGACUUGUGUCGCACACAUGAAACAUGCAUCACAUAUAGCCUACAGGUGGAUUUAAACUCUACUGAUUGAGUGGUAUC
rnacentral:lncRNA from 1 species